UGCAAGUCGAACGGUAACAGGCCUUCGGGCGCUGACGAGUGGCGGACGGGUGAGUAACGCGUAGGAAUCUGCCUAUAGUGGGGACAACGUGGGAAACCCACGCUAAUACCGCAUACGCCUACGGGGGAAAGAGGGGGAUCUUCGGACCUUUCGCUAUGAGAUGAGCCUGCGUUAGAUUAGCUAGUUGGUAGGUAAAGGCCUACCAAGGCGAUGAUCUAUAGCUGGUCUGAGAGGACGAUCAGCCACACUGGGACUGAGACACGGCCCAGACUCC
rnacentral:rRNA from 1 species